GACGGAGGAUGCAAGCGUUAUCCGGAAUUAUUGGGCGUAAAGCGUCCGCAGGUGGCUGUUCAAGUCUGCUGUCAAAGCGCAGAGCUUAACUCUGUACGGGCGGUGGAAACUGAAGAGCUAGAGUAUGGUAGGGGUAGAGGGAAUUCCCGGUGUAGCGGUGAAAUGCGUAGAUAUCGGGAAGAACACCAGUGGCGAAAGCGCUCUACUGGGCCAUAACUGACACUGAGGGACGAAAGCUAGGGGAGCGAAAGGG
rnacentral:rRNA from 1 species